rnacentral:rRNA from 1 species
GAUCCUGGCUCAGGAUGAACGCUAGCUACAGGCUUAACACAUGCAAGUCGAGGGGCAGCAUGUAUCUGGCUUGCCAGAUAUGAUGGCGACCGGCGCACGGGUGAGUAACGCGUAUCCGACCUGCCGCACACUCCGGGAUAGCCUUGCGAAAGCAAGUUUAAUACCGGAUGCCGUAAUGGCGCCGCAUGGUGUUUUACGUAAAGGGAUUACCGGUGUGCGAUGGGGAGUGCGU